UGAUAUGGCCACAGGAAAGGAGAGUACCCAGAAUUUGUCAGCCAGGACUUACCAGGACUUGUGAUAGAACAAAAUUGCCAGUGGGGAACUUGAGGCUCAUUCCUCAUAGAGAACCAACAGGCUCCAAAUCACCAAACUUCUUUGCCUCUCUGGGAAAACUAAAUGACCCACCACUUCAGAAGAAGGUCAUGGGGUCUGUGCACAGCUUUUCACAUCCUCCCUGAAACACCAACACGCCCGGUCCAGGUUAAAGGAUAUCAGCACUGCCACACACUCUUCUUUUUCCCAAAUUAAUCAAGAAGUAGGAAUUUCUGACAAAUGCCAUCUGCUGAUUUUUCAGAGAGACAAGUUUUGGUGGUGUGACCAGCAGGUGCCUCGGCUUUUUCUAGCAUGCAGUACCAAAAUAGUCACCAUGGCAACCCUGGGAGGGCAGACUUCCAAAGAGAUGCAUUGUGAGCUCAGAAACUCUAGAGCACUUUCAAGCUAAAAGGAAGGAGGCUCAGCAGUGGGUUUCCAACUGUGCCUCCUUCCUUGGUUCACAAUGACAGUCCAACUUCUGCCAGUCCUGACUGUCAUUCAAGCCUUUUUGCUAUUUAAGAAUUUUGAGGAAGAAAACCGUCAUGUACUCAAAAUCCUGGUAAUCAGAAGUGUCUGGAGAUUUCGAGCUGUUAACAUAGAGAGGUGGCAAAAUUAUUUUCUGGGAUAUCCUUAUGGGCCUGAAUGGCAGCGGGAGUCGACAUAGCUGGUGCCUGGGCAGGUUUCCAAAGCACAGCCGAGGUGGAGAGUAGGUGAGGGCUGCAACAAAGGUCCCGACAUCUGAAGAGCACUGCACAGUUUGUCAGAGGAUUUCAGCUCCACACUCUCACUUAGUCCUCACAGCAACCCCAUGCAGUGACUGCUGUCACUUCUUUUCAUGGCUGAGAAGACUGUUGGGAGAGGAAAAAUGAAUUGCCCACUGGCAGGCAGGUAAGAGGCACAGCUGAAACUCUCACCUAGUUCUUCUGACUCCAAGCCCAUCAUCUCAGGAUUGUACCCAAGUGGCUCUUGCACCAGUAUCAGCGCCAAUGGCAGGGUCAGCAGAAAAUAGCAGAGGGGCCUGAAAACAGAUGGGAACAUCUGGAAAAGAUUCAUAAUCCACUUAGGAAAAAGGAGGGGGGAUGCACGGAGUUAGCACAUAUUAAGUGCCUGCUGUAGUCAAGCCCUGUUGGACACCAGGGACAUCUGGACCUUGACAACGGAGCGAAGGGGUGGUCCUGCCUGCACCAGGUUUCAGCUGACCCUCCCUGCAUCUUGGUCCCAGUGGCUUCUCAGGCUUCUCUGCAGCAUGGGUGUUCCUGCCUUGGCCAGAGCCGAAAUCCCAGAGCAGUGAAAGAGGAGCCAGUGUCAUGGGGCUUCUGGUUUCAGGACACACUGGAAAGACUGUGGGUUCUCUCAACAGGGUGAACAUGAAAAAUAGAAGCCUCCAGUUUCUCCUGAUAGUGUAUAGAUGGGCAGAUCUGGCCUCAAUGGCAGAAGAUACUUGGGGAACUGGAGAAAGUACAGAAGGUGAUGUGAAAUCAAUUGGGUCAUCAAAAGAAGACGGGUGUACCACAAUUUGUUCCUCCACCUGCUGCCCAUGAACAUUUGGAGGGUUUCUAGUUUUUGGCUAUUACAAAUAAAGUUGUCAUGAACAUUUGCAUAC
rnacentral:lncRNA from 10 species